rnacentral:tRNA from 1 species
CGGCGCGUAGCAAAAGCUGGUUUGCAACUGCUUUACACGCAGCCAUACGGGGGUUCGAUUCCUCCCGCGCCGA